rnacentral:rRNA from 1 species
UAGGGAAUCUUAGGCAAUGGACGAAAGUCUGACCGAGCAACGCCGCGUGAGUGAAGAAGGUUUUCGGAUCGUAAAACUCUGUUGUUAGAGAAGAACAAGGACGUUAGUAACUGAACGUCCCCUGACGGUAUCUAACCAGAAAGCCACGGCUAACUACGUGCCAGCAGCCGCGGUAAUACGUAGGUGGCAAGCGUUGUCCGGAUUUAUUGGGCGUAAAGCGAGCGCAGGCGGUUUCUUAAGUCUGAUGUGAAAGCCCCCGGCUCAACCGGGGAGGGUCAUUGGAAACUGGGGGUCUUGAGUGCAGAAGAGGAGAGUGGAAUUCCAUGUGUAGCGGUGAAAUGCGUAGAUAUAUGGAGGAACACCAGUGGCGAAGGCGGCUCUCUGGUCUGUAACUGACGCUGAGGCUCGAAAGCGUGGGGAGCAAACAGG